rnacentral:rRNA from 1 species
AAAGGAAUAGACGGGGGCCCGCACAAGCAGUGGAUUAUGUGGUUUAAUUCGAUGCUACGCGAAAAACCUUACCAGGGCUUGACAUGGAGAUGACCGCCGUAGAGAUACGGUUUCCCUUUCGGGGGCAUCUCACACAGGUGGUGCAUGGUUGUCGUCAGCUCGUGUCGUGAGAUGUUGGGUUAAGUCCCGCAACGAGCGCAACCCUUGUUGUUAGUUGCUACGCGAGAGCACUCUAGCGAGACUGCCGUUGACAAAACGGAGGAAGGCGGGGACGACGUCAAAUCAUCAUGCCCCUUAUGUCCUGGGCUACACACGUAAUACAAUGGCGUUUAACAAUGGGAAGCGAAGCCGCGAGGCGGAGCAAAUCCCCAAAAGGCGUCUCAGUUCGGAUCGCAGGCUGCAACCCGCCUGCGUGAAGUCGGAAUUGCUAGUAAUCGCGGAUCAGCAUGCCGCGGUGAAUACGUUCCCGGGCCUUGUACACACCGCCCGU